CCCAACCCAAGCCCAACCAUACCCACGCUCUUAACUCAACAAAAUUCUAACUUGAACAAAGAUCCUUGCUUGAAAAUCUGCAUAAUUGUUUCAACAAAACAAGGGUUUCAUCGACUCCUCGUCGGAAUCAAUCCAAGAUGGCAGAUCUUCACCAACUUUCUGAUGAACAAUUCGUUGCCGUUGCUGUUUUCCAGGGCAAAAGCCAUUAACUCAUGGUAUGAAACACAUGAAAGAGUUAACAGCUACAUAAUUCAGAACACAUUUACAAAAUUCAGCAUAGGAUUCUCUUAAGUUUAUCUGUUGGGGAUUA